GGCCUGACAGAACCUGUACUGAUUUGUUUGGAUGUGGAUUCCAAGCUCAGUGAUCAGAUCAAGCUGUCAUUCUUCCACCUGUGUGUGGAUGACAAGUCGGCUCUGUUGCUCCACCUCCUGAGGAACGUAGUGAAGCCUCAGAAACAGACAGUGGUCUUUGCUGCCACCAAACCUAAAGGAGCCUAAAGGAGCUGCUGUCGUCAGAAGGUUUAGAGUGUGCCUACGUCUACAGUGCCCUUGAUCAGACUGCCAGGAAGAUCAAUAUUGGGAAAUUUGUGCAUUGGAAAGCCAUGGAGCUUCUGGUGACUGAUGUUGCUGCUCGUGGUAUAGGCAUCCCCCUGCUGGACAAUGUCAUCAAUUACAACUUCCCCUCCAAGGCCAAACUUGUGCCGAAGUGGCACAGCCUAUAGUCUGAUUUGUCCUGAUGAAAUGCAGUAUUCUAAUAAGCAAAGAAACACAUAAUUCUCUCCUGAUAUAGACCAUCUUCAAAAUCAACUCCAGUAGUAAGACACCAGCGAGUGAGGUGAUGCGGGCCAAACGCUCUAAAGACACUCGGCUAGUGGACAAAUUCAGCAAGCAGAGAGAGGACCGAGCUGCAGAAAGCAGGAUGCAGCAGCCAAUCAACCCCACCACUACUGCUGACUGUGACAUCACAGAAAAGGAGGAGACUGAUCUAAAUUGAAAUAUCCCGCUGGUGUCACACCACAAAGAAGAGUUGGGUGGCAAAUCAUCGGACAAACGUAACAGUGGGUUUUUUGGACUUCCUCAGCCCAGGUGAUGUGAUA